AGUGAACGCUGGCGGUAGGCCUAACACAUGCAAGUCGAACGGCAGCACAGUAAGAGCUUGCUCUUACGGGUGGCGAGUGGCGGACGGGUGAGGAAUACAUCGGAAUCUACUUUUUCGUGGGGGAUAACGUAGGGAAACUUACGCUAAUACCGCAUACGACCUACGGGUGAAAGCAGGGGAUCUUCGGACCUUGCGCGAUUGAAUGAGCCGAUGUCGGAUUAGCUCGUUGGCGGGGUAAAGGCCCACCAAGGCGACGAUCCGUAGCUGGUCUGAGAGGAUGAUCAGCCACACUGGAACUGAGACACGGUCCAGACUCCUAGGGGAGGCAGCAGUGGGGAAUAUUGGACAAUGGGCGAAAGCCUGAUCCAGCCAUACCGCGUGGGUGAAGAAGGCCUUCGGGUUGGAAAGCCCUGUUGUUGGGAAAGAAAAGCAGCAGGUUAAUACCCCGCUGUUCUGACGGUACCCAAAGAAUAAGCACCGGCUAACUUCGUG
rnacentral:rRNA from 1 species